UGGUGGUGAUGGAGUAACUGAACAC
rnacentral:piRNA from 1 species